rnacentral:rRNA from 1 species
GACGAACGCUGGCUGCGUGCUUAACACAUGCAAGUCGAACGCUGAAGCCCUGGUGCUUGCACCGGGGUGGAUGAGUGGCGAACGGGUGAGUAACACGUGAGUAACCUGCCCCCGACUUCGGGAUAAGCCCGGGAAGCUGGGUCUAAUACCGGAUAUGACGACCGAGGGCAUCUUUGGUUGUGGAAAGUUUUUUCGGUUGGGGAUGGGCUCGCGGCCUAUCAGUUUGUUGGUGAGGUAAUGGCUCACCAAGACGACGACGGGUAGCCGGCCUGAGAGGGCGACCGGCCACACUGGGACUGAGACACGGCCCAG